UACGAAUGGGGCUAGCGUUGUUCGGAAUCACUGGGCGUAAAGCGCACGUAGGCGGAUUUGUAAGUCAGGGGUGAAAUCCCGGGGCUCAACCUCGGAACUGCCUCUGAUACUGCAAGUCUCGAGUCCGGAAGAGGUGAGUGGAAUUCCUAGUGUAGAGGUGAAAUUCGUAGAUAUUAGGAAGAACACCAGUGGCGAAGGCGGCUCACUGGUCCGGUACUGACGCUGAGGUGCGAAAGCGUGGGGAGCAAACAGG
rnacentral:rRNA from 1 species